rfam:Calypte anna contig17764, whole genome shotgun sequence.
CUGUACUGCUCAGUGACCAGCUGGUCUGUCCUUGACCUUCUUGGUCUCAUCCCCAGUGCAAGAUCAAUUCCUCCUAGCAGAAGGGCCAGGCUCUUCUCAUGGCCUGUCCCUUUCGAAAGCUGGGUACAAAC